AUUGAACGCUGGCGGCAGGCCUAACACAUGCAAGUCGAACGAGUGGCGGACGGGUGAGUAAUGUCUGGGAAACUGCCCGAUGGAGGGGGAUAAAUACUGGAAACGGUAGCUAAUACCGAAUAACAUCGGAUGUGCCCAGAUGGGAUAAGCGAGUAGGUGGGGUAACGGCUCACCUAGGCGACGAUCCCUAGCUGUGCUGAGAGGAUGACCAGCCACACUGGAACGGAGACACGGUCCAGACUCCUACGGGAGGGAGCAGUGUGGAAUAUUGCACAAUGGGCGCAAGCCUGAUACAGCCAUGCCGCGUGUAUGAAGAAGGCCUUCGGAUUGUAAAGUACUUUCAGCGAGGAGGCGUUACUCGCAGAAGAAGCACCGGCUAACUCCGUGCCAGCCGCCGCGGUAAUUC
rnacentral:rRNA from 1 species